UACGGGGGGAGCAAGCGUUGUUCGGAAUUACUGGCGUAAAGCGCACGUAGGCGGCUUUCUAAGUCAGGGGUGAAAUCCUGGAGCUCGAACUCCAGAACUGCCUUUGAUACUGGAGAGCUUGAGUCCGGAAGAGGUGAGUGGAACUCCGAGUGUAGAGGUGAAAUUCGUAGAUAUUCGGAAGAACACCAGUGGCGAAGGCGGCUCACUGGUCCGGUACUGACGCUGAGGUGCGAAAGCG
rnacentral:rRNA from 1 species